AGCCAAAGGUCAGUGGAUGCCAGAAAUCAGGAUAAAUGAGUAGAGAGCAGAGGUCAGAGGAUGCCAGAAGUCAGGGUACAUGAAAUAACAAGCCAAGGUCAGGCAUCAACAGGAGAACAUGAAACAGCAAUACUAGAACCAGAGUCAAUGAACUGACACUGCCCUCAGGGAGAGGCAGUGUCUUAUACCUGGCUAAUCAGUGAUCAG